rnacentral:sRNA from 1 species
ACGAUGGGCAUCGACAGGUGGCACUC